ACAGGUGUCACGGUGCCCAGGUGUGAAAGGGAAAGGUGUCUCGGUGCCCAGGUGUGAAAGGGAAAGGUGUCUCGAUGCCCAGGUGUGAGAGGGAAAGGUGUCUCGAUGCCCAGGUGUGACAGGGAAAGGUGUCUCGGUGCCCAGGUGUGAGAGGAAAAGGUGUCUCAGUGCCCAGGUGUGAGAGUGAAAUGUCGCUCUGUGCCCAGGUGUGGGGGAGAGGGGCCCAGGUGUGAGAGAGAAAGGUCGCUCUGUGCCCAGAUGUGGG